rnacentral:lncRNA from 1 species
GGUAAUUAUUGCCUUGAAACACACAGAGUUGGUCAAUGAUUUCUCACUCAACGCUGCAAAGGAUGUUGGUGGCAAUCAAGAGUUGAAUAAAACCCGUUUUUCAAAUGAUGACCCAUCGGGAACAGGCUUGGCGUCUUACAAUAGUGACAAUUGCACAGAUGACUGUCCGGGCAUGGAGAUGACUGGGGUCAUUGGUGGAAAUGUAGAAACAGACAGCAUGUUCAUUCCUUCCAAUGCGAAUACAUGCAUGGAUUUGACUUUAAACCAGAUUGUUUCCAAUGUCUGGCCUGCUAGUGGCUCAGUCCCUGAUGACGACAUGGAAAUUACUAGGAGCCAGGAUACAAACAGAACACUUAUAUUUCCAAUGAAGGACAAUGAAAUGCAAAUGACUGGAAUUCAUGGAAAGAAAAAAGUGUUGUGUGGUUAUGAGGAGCCGUUCUUCAGGUCAGUAAACGAUAAAGAAAGAAGCACAGGUUUUAGUAGCCUUUCAGAUUUUAAUGACACAGAAAUGACUAAAAGUCAGACUGUUCUGACUGAGUCUCACCAGGCAAGAAAAAGUUCACCUAACAUUUCAUCUUCAAACCAAUUAAAUGAUGGUAGAAAAGAAGUAGAGAGAAGCAAUGUUGAUUGUCCUAAAAUGAUGGAAGGUCUGGAAAUGAACAGAACAAUCACUGGAAAUGUUGGGAUUGAUUCAGUAGAAUGUAAAAUUCAAACCUGCACCAGGACAGAAGUUGAGACUGGUCUUAUUGGCACUCCUGAGCCAGACGUCUGUUCAUCCCCUGUGUCUUCAGUAACCCGAGACUUUGAAGAUCAGCAGAGGGUAGCCAUGUCUUCCAUUUCUAUUCAGGACCAUAGAGUCCUGGAAUCCUGGAAGUCUGCCAAUGCAGUGACUUGUGAUCUGGAUGAAAUGGAAUUCACUAGAAGUAAAACUGUGGUUAUAGACUCUGUUGGCGUAGAAAGAACAAAUGAACCAGCUCCUGUGGAUCCUCAAGAUCACUACACAGAGUUUCUUUGUCAGGAAAGUGUGCUUCCUGAAGGAAACACUCAUGUGGCAGACAGCGCUGAUUCUGUAGUGAUGUAUGGUGAUAACCGGUCUGAGGAACCGAUCAAAUCAAGACGCAAGAGUCUGGCAGAUCUCCAGUCAAAACUUCAAAGCAUAUUACAAUGUAUGAACCACAGCAACGAGGAGGUGGUGGGGAGCGUCACAGCCCCGUUGCCUCAGCUGAGGGAGAGAUUGACUGAAACGGAAGGUCUGAAGGAGUUGAGAACUACAGCGACUUCAGACGAGUUGCGGAACAAUUCACUGUCUGAAGGUUCUGAGAGGAAAACCAUGGGCAGUUGGCAAAACAAGGCACUCACAGCACGCAUUUCUGUUGGAGGGUUCCUUCCCAAACUCCCCUCGAGACCCAAACCAACGGAUCCUGACCCUGUUAUGUCCAAAAUUGCUGCUGCAGUUCAGAAUGAUUACACCACUUGCGAACCCAAUGGCAGCUUCGAGACUGUAGACGAUCUCAAUGAUAUCGAGCUGCCAGAGAUGAGCGCCAAUGAGGAUGUGUCUGAAACCUUGGACAGAAAUUGUCUCAAUAAGACAAUGGAUAUAGAAACACCAUCCGAAGUUCCGGUGCAGGAUGAUGAAGAUUCAGCAACCUCUCAAGGCCUGAAAAGACCAUUUCCCGAGGAUCACCAAGAGACUGAAGAUUCUCAAAGAAAGAGGCCACAGUCAGAAUCACCCAUUCAAGAAAUGGUAAUUUUUUUCCUUCAGUUGAAGACUAUUUGGAUAAU